UACGUAGGGUGCAAGCGUUGUCCGGAAUUAUUGGGCGUAAAGAGCUCGUAGGCGGUUUGUCGCGUCUGCUGUGAAAACGCGAGGCUCAACCUCGCGCCUGCAGUGGGUACGGGCAGACUAGAGUGCGGUAGGGGAGAGUGGAAUUCCUGGUGUAGCGGUGGAAUGCGCAGAUAUCAGGAGGAACACCGAUGGCGAAGGCAGAUCUCUGGGCCGUAACUGACGCUGAGGAGCGAAAGCGUGGGGAGCGAACAGG
rnacentral:rRNA from 1 species